rnacentral:lncRNA from 1 species
CUGAAACAAAAUCUGCUCAAAUCCCCCUCAUUAAAUGAUGAACGACUAUUUUACCGUUCAAAAUUUCACGCUCUUAAUUUCGAACGUUAGAGAUAAAAAAAUUUCCCGAAGAACUCUAGAAUACGCCUAUAAAAACCAAGCCAUUGCAGCCAACAGAGGAGGAGCUGGGCGGCCCCCUUCCAUCUCGCUUAGUCUUCAGUGACUAACUAUUCAAAGCUUAUCUUCUUCCUUGCUCUCUAAAAAUUCAGCUUUAAGUUUUCUCUGUCUUUUGAUCUCUAUUUAGUCCAUAGCCUUGCUAAAGCUUUUAUUUAUUUAUUUGCUGUGUCCGCGUUUGACGAUCUUCCGAAAGAGCUGAGCCAAAGUUGAAGAUCUUCUUGACGCCGCCCUCAAUUUACUGCCCUGCAAAAGGUCCGUAUUUUCUUAUUUUUCGUUUUUCUGGAAUUUAUAGUAUGUUCAUGUUUCAGUAUCUAUUUGGCAAUGAGCUCUUAAUUUUCUGAUAUUUUAUCUUUUGUCUGCAGUGCUUUUGUUGAUUUAUGACAUUAUUCUAUUUAAAGUUGUCAUGUUAUGCACAGUAGUUUUAUUGGAAAUCAUCCAAAUAUGUUCAUUUCUUUAUUUAGAUGAAUGCUGAAAUCAUGCCUUACAAAACUGUUUUUCUAACCAUAUACUGCUCGAAACAUGAAGGAUAACUAAUGUCAUUGUGUUUAUGUGAACUAUUCUAUUGUUCACAAAUCCAAGUAGUAGAAACCAUGUUCAGUACUUAAUUUUCUCUAUAAAAGUUAUGAUAAUUUAUAGUAUAAAGUUAGGGCCCCAUGAUUGAUACUUUGAUAAUUGCAAACUUAGUCUAAAAGCAUUCAGCUAUAACUCCUCCUUUGUUGCAAAUUUGUAGAAAUAAACUGAAAUGGAGGCUCUCAUCCAUUGAAUGAUUUAACAUAGAGUAAUUCUUGUCAGAUAAUGAGUUGUCCGCUAAUUUCUAUCCUUUAUUUUUUUUGCAUGUACACUUUAGACCAAAUAGAGUCUUAUUGCAAGACUCGCUGCCGCCGCCACCACCCGAAGUCCAUUAGCAUUGCGUUGUCUUCAAGUCGCUGCAUUUAAGUUGCAGCCAUAUGAUAAAAUUCAUCUGAACAACUGCUAUAUUUUCUUUAGCAUUCGUUUCAUUGAAUGUAAGAUUAUUUUCUUUAUAUUUUUUAUUCUUAUUGAGAGCUUAUAAAAUUUUGGAGUCGCCGUUAAGUUUUGUACUAAUUUAGGAUCACUAAUCAUUAAUUUAGUACUAUGUUCAUCACGUAAAACAUAGCAACUAGAUACUCCAUUUGGAAUUAAUUUUAAAAUGAUAUUUUCGGUAAGUCUAUACCCAGUUUGUAAAAGAGAAUUGUCCGUUGUACUUCAUAACCGAAGUUAUUUCUUUGAAUCUAAGUGUGAACUAAGAAAUUUUGUCAAAUUGUGUAAUUUUUUUUAUAUUAGUUAAGUCCAUAAAGUCUUUUCAAAAGACAACAUUUUCAAGCACUAUGAUUGUAGGACCGCUAAUCAUUUAACAAAUUUUCAUCAACGUCGUAACUGAGCCUAUUUGGAGGGAAGAAGAACAAAAAGCCUAUUUGUAGUAUCAUUAAUUAAUCUAAGUUCGACCGGCCAACCGUAAUUAGCGAAUCAUAUAGGGUGCUUUGAUAACCUUCCCUAUAGGAUUAAUUAGAAUUCUUACCUAGAAUUUUAAGGUUAAGCAGAUCAUAAAAUAGAGUUAAUUGUAAGCACUACUUAGCUAAAAUUGGUGUCCUAAUUCAUAAUUAAAAUAAUUAGGUGGAGACUCAAUUAAUUAAACUUGUAAAUGUUAUACUCUAGUUUGACCCGGGUUAAAAUGGGGUAUAACACAUAUGGUACUUAGAGCCGGACUUAGGACCUUUUCUUUGUGAGAGAUGAGAGAGUCCAUUUACCUCGAUUUGUGUGCAAAUACUCUAAAAGGUGAGGUUCACUUAGGGAAAGUCGAGGAUUUGUGAGUUUGGAUUGCACAAUGACAAAAAUAUUUGAGAAAGGUUCCUUGAUGAGAUGUGUCAACUCGUGAUGAUCUUAUGUCACACUAGAUCCACAAGUUUUUAAAGUUUUAAGUGUGUUAAUGAUGCAUUCGCGUUGAGGGCAAUUGUUAGCCCCAAUUGAUGCUUGUUGAGGUUACAUUAGGAUCAACAGGAAUUACUUGGGUGUUUUCCAUUGAGGGAUAUGUCUCAUUUUAUUUGCUUGGGGUCAAGCAAAGGUUUAAGUUUGGGGGAGUUGAUAACUGUAAUUUCUACAUGUUUUACACCCAUCCUUACCUAAGCUUUAUACAUUAAUUGCCAUAUAUUAGUCCCAAAAUGCUUACAUAUUGCACUUGAUUGCAGGUUUGAACGACAAGAUGACAAGUAUCAAAGAUCGGCUCAAAAAGGAGUGAAAUCUGCCAAGUGUCAAAAGACAACUAAAAUAAUAUCAAAAUGACCUGCGUGGUCCGCACUGCUUUGCAAUGCGGCCGUGCAUGAAAGUUCAGAGGCUGAGUUAUAUUAAGGUUACCCUGCGCGGUCCGCUCUGAUUUAACUCGCGUCCACACAGGAGAGUUCAGAGACCAUGAGAGUUUGAAGUCAAACAACCCGAGAGUAUUUGCUUGGGGUCAAGCAAAGGUUUAAGUUUGGGGGAGUUGAUAACUGUAAUUUCUACAUGUUUUACACCCAUCCUUACCUAAGCUUUAUACAUUAAUUGCCAUAUAUUAGUCCCAAAAUGCUUACAUAUUGCACUUGAUUGCAGGUUUGAACGACAAGAUGACAAGUAUCAAAGAUCGGCUCAAAAAGGAGUGAAAUCUGCCAAGUGUCAAAAGACAACUGAAAUGGGGAUCAAAAUGACCUGCGCGGUCCGCACUUCUUUGCAACGCGGCCGCAUAGGAAAGUUUAGAGGCUAAGUUAUAAUAAGGUUACCCUGCGCGGUCCGCACUGAUUUUUCUCGCGGCCGCACAGGAGAGUUCAGAGACCUUGCAAGUUUGAAGCCAAGCCACGCAGACCGCAGUCAAUUCCACGCGGUCCGCACUAAUGGAAGUCAGAGACCCUGAAAAUCAAGGCAAAUCCCACGCGUCCGCACACCAAAUCAGUGCGGUCCGCGUGGGUAAAGUUUAGAGAGUCAAUGUUUUGGGAAAAUUUUGCUACGCGGCCGCGUCCCAUUUCUACGCAGUUUGCGUGUCUCAGCCUACGCGGCCGCGUGACAUAUCUGUACGGCCCACAUCCCCCAGUUUCAAAAGCAAGACUUGGAGACUUAUUGCCCUCCACGGCCGCGUGACAUUUAUACGUAGUCCGCGCUAGACCCUAGGGGUAUUUUUAUCCGGUUUUUCCUAUGUAGUAUAAAUAGAAUAUUUUACUUUUUUAGGUCAAGUUUUAUUUUAUCAGAAAGAUUCUGAGUUCGAGACUUCAUAUUGUUAGCCUAGUUUAGGCAAUUUCUUCUAGUUUUAAAGUGGAUUCAAG